GACUCACUAGCUCAAUUGGCAGAGCAACUGACUCUUAAUCAGUAGGUUCGGGGUUCGAUUCCCCGGUGGGUCACCA
rnacentral:tRNA from 1 species